UACGUAGGGGGCAAGCGUUGUCCGGAUUUAUUGGGCGUAAAGAGCGUGUAGGCGGCCUGGUAGGUCAGCUGUGAAAACUCGAGGCUCAACCUCGAGACGCCGGUUGAAACCAUCAGGCUAGAGUCCGGAAGAGGAGAGUGGAAUUCCCGGUGUAGCGGUGAAAUGCGCAGAUAUCGGGAAGAACACCCGUGGCGAAGGCGGCUCUCUGGGACGGUACUGACGCUGAGACGCGAAAGCGUGGGGAGCGAACAGG
rnacentral:rRNA from 1 species